GCCUGAGCUCGCCUCAGCUGCCGGGUGGCCGGCGCGGCGCGCCCCGUGAGUGCCGCCUUCGCAAGCGCUUAUUUCAAAACUCCUCAAAAAGCGCUUUAAUGUAGAAGACUUUGGUUCGAGACCAGAACGUCGUGAGGCUGGUACAAAGAUGACACCCUAUAAUAACUCUGAAUGUCUUCAUCAGCUGCCAGGCUACACCCAGACAAGCCAUCUGCCACCUAGGAAACGACAUAGUCUAAGUGUCUAAACGAAGACAGCUGAUAACACCCCAACAGUGACACAGUGGGAUUCAGCACGGUGGGAGUCAGCUUGGAAGUGGAGGCUUUCCCAGUGCCUAUGACUUGCUUCUUCCAAAGAUUGUCACCUCUGCUGCAGGGACAGUUGAACUGCAUGCAAAAAUGCUCCCAAAUCACCACAUUCUAUAACAUAAGCAGAAUCAGUCCUGAUUUUAUAGUGGAGCGGUUUAGAAAUGGCUGGAUGGAUUAUUCCAUUUCCCUGUUGUAGGAAGCAAAAAGCAAUCAUAAAGAUAGGCAGCUGAAGGCCACCAUCAGUUAAAUCUGCCUAUGUUUGUGAGUCAACACUUUCACAUAUUAGAGGGGGCAAAUAAUACCAAACUUCAAAGGAAAAUGCUAACAUUUAUCAAGGCAACUGGCAAUCACUUGUUUGCAGCAAAUCAAUAUAGGUAACCAAAAGUUUCGUUGUAUGUUGAACAUUGCCUCCAAAACUUUAAAGGGCCAGAGAGCUGGCAAACCUAUCUGUAUUGGGAUGGAAUUAAUUUUCCCCAUAGCAGCCCUCAUAGUGCUGUGCUUUGUACUGGUAGCUAGAAUUGUGUAUUGGUGUGUUGAUAACACACCAGUGUUUUGGCUACGGCUGAGCAGUGCUUGCACAGCACCAAGGCUGUCUCCAACAUUCCCCCUAACCCCCAAAGGCCAGUAUGCUGGGGGAGGGCAAGAUCUUGGGAGGGGACAUAGCCAGGACAGCUGACCCAAACUGACCAAAGGGAUAUUGCAUACCAUAUGAUGUCUGCUCAGCAAUAAAAGCUAAGAGAAAGCAGGGGGGGAGCAUUCGUUAGUACGACAUUUGUCUUCUGGAGCAACUGCUACGCGUACUGAAGCCCUACUUCCCAGGAAGUGGCUGGACAUCGCCUGCUGAUGGGAAGUAGAGAAUAAAUCUUUUUAUU